GCCUGGGUGGCUCAGUCGGUUGAGCGUCUGACUUCGGCUCAGGUCAUGAUCUUGCAGUCUGUGGGUUCGAGCCCCGCGUCAGGCU
rfam:Felis catus isolate Cinnamon breed Abyssinian chromosome B4, whole genome shotgun sequence.